rnacentral:rRNA from 1 species
GAUGAACGCUGGCGGCGUGCCUAAUACAUGCCAGUCGAGCGAACAGACGAGGAGCUUGCUCCUCUGACGUUAGCGGCGGACGGGUGAGUAACACGUGGAUAACCUACCUAUAAGACUGGGAUAACUUCGGGAAACCGGAGCUAAUACCGGAUAAUAUAUUGAACCGCAUGGUUCAAUAGUGAAAGACGGUUUUGCUGUCACUUAUAGAUGGAUCCGCGCCGCAUUAGCUAGUUGGUAAGGUAACGGCUUACCAAGGCAACGAUGCGUAGCCGAACUGAGAGGGUGAUCGGCCACACUGGAACUGAGACACGGUCCAGACUCCUAAGGGAGGCAGCAGUAGGGAAUCUUCCGCAAUGGGCGAAAGCCUGACGGAGCAACGCCGCGUGAGUGAUGAAGGUCUUCGGAUCGUAAAACUCUGUUAUUAGGGAAGAACAAAUGUGUAAGUAACUAUGCACGUCUUGACGGUACCUAAUCAGAAAGCCACGGCUAACUACGUG